rnacentral:rRNA from 1 species
AGCGAACGCUGGCGGCAGGCUUAACACAUGCAAGUCGAACGGACCCUUCGGGGUUAGUGGCGGACGGGUGAGUAACACGUGGGAACGUGCCCUUAGGUUCGGAACAACACAGGGAAACUUGUGCUAAUACUGGAUGUGCCCUUCGGGGGAAAGAUUUAUCGCCUUUGGAGCGGCCCGCGUCUGAUUAGCUAGUUGGUGAGGUAAAGGCUCACCAAGGCGACGAUCAGUAGCUGGUCUGAGAGGAUGGCCAGCCACAUUGGGACUGAGACACGGCCCAAACUCCUACGGGAGGCAGCAGUGGGGAAUCUUGCGCAAUGGGCGAAAGCCUGACGCAGCCAUGCCGCGUGGAUGAUGAAGGUCUUAGGAUUGUAAAAUCCUUUCAGCGGGGACGAUAAUGACGGUACCCGCAGAAGAAGCCCCGGCUAACUUCGUGCCAGCCGCCGCGGUAA